rnacentral:rRNA from 1 species
AUUGAACGCUGGCGGCAUGCUUUACACAUGCAAGUCGAACGGUAACAGGUUAAGCUGACGAGUGGCGAACGGGUGAGUAAUGCAUCGGAACGUGCCCGAUCGUGGGGGAUAACGCAGCGAAAGCUGCGCUAAUACCGCAUACGAUCUGAGGAUGAAAGCGGGGGACCGUGAGGCCUCGCGCGAUCGGAGCGGCCGAUGUCAGAUUAGGUAGUUGGUGGGGUAAAGGCCCACCAAGCCGACGAUCUGUAGCUGGUCUGAGAGGACGACCAGCCACACUGGGACUGAGGCACGGCCCAGAUUCCUACGGGAGGCAGCAGUGGGGAAUUUUGGACAAUGGGCGAAAGCCUGAUCCAGCAAUGCCGCGUGCAGGAAGAAGGCCUUCGGGUUGUAAACUGCUUUUGUACGGAGCGAAAAGGUCCUUUCUAAUACAAGGGGCUCAUGACGGUACCGUAAGAAUAAGCACCGGCUAACUACGUGCCAGCAGCCGCCGUAA